CCUACGGGAGGCAACAGUGGGGAAUAUUGGACAAUGGGGGCAACCCUGAUCCAGCCAUGCCGCGUGUGUGAAGAAGGCCCUCGGGUUGUAAAGCACUUUCAGUGAGGAAGAACGCCUGGUGGUUAAUACCCAUCAGGAAAGACAUCACUCACAGAAGAAGCACCGGCUAAAUCCGUGCCAGCAGCCGCGGUAAUACGGAGGGUGCGAGCGUUAAUCGGAAUUACUGGGCGUAAAGCGCGCGUAGGUGGCUUGAUAAGCCGGUUGUGAAAGCCCCGGGCUCAACCUGGGAACGGCAUCCGGAACUGUCAAGCUAGAGUGCAGGAGAGGAAGGUAGAAUUCCCGGUGUAGCGGUGAAAUGCGUAGAGAUCGGGAGGAAUACCAGUGGCGAAGGCGGCCUUCUGGACUGACACUGACACUGAGGUGCGAAAGCGUGGGUAGCAAACAGGAUUAGAUACCCUAGUAGUC
rnacentral:rRNA from 1 species